GAUGAACGCUGGCGGCGUGCCUAAUACAUGCAAGUCGAACGAAUCACUUCGGUGGUUAGUGGCGGACGGGUGAGUAACACGUGAGCAACCUGCCUUGGAGUGGGGGACAACAGUUGGAAACGACUGCUAAUACCGCAUGAUGUAUUCGGAGGGCAUCCUCUGAAUACCAAAGAUUUAUCGCUCUAAGAUGGGCUCACGUCUGAUUAGUUAGUUGGUGAGGUAACGGCUCACCAAGACUGCGAUCAGUAGCCGGACUGAGAGGUUGAACGGCCACAUUGGGACUGAGAUACGGCCCAGACUCCUACGGGAGGCAGCAGUGGGGAAUAUUGGGCAAUGGGCGCAAGCCUGACCCAGCAACGCCGCGUGAAGGAAGAAGGCUUUCGGGUUGUAAACUUCUUUUGUCAGGGACGAAUAAUUGACGGUACCUGACGAAUAAGCCACGGCUAACUACGUG
rnacentral:rRNA from 1 species